GGGGACCCGCAAGCGGUGGAUGAUGUGGAUUAAUUCGAUGCAACGCGAAAAACCUUACCUACCCUUGACAUGUACGGAAGACCGAAGAGAUUUGGUUGUGCUCGAAAGAGAACCGUAACACAGGUGCUGCAUGGCUGUCGUCAGCUCGUGUCGUGAGAUGUUGGGUUAAGUCCCGCAACGAGCGCAACCCUUGUCAUUAGUUGCUACAUUCAGUUGAGCACUCUAAUGAGACUGCCGGUGACAAACCGGAGGAAGGUGGGGAUGACGUCAAGUCCUCAUGGCCCUUAUGGGUAGGGCUUCACACGUCAUACAAUGGUACAUACAGAGGGCCGCCAACCCGCGAGGGGGAGCUAAUCCCAGAAGGUGUAUCGUAGUCCGGAUCGCAGUCUGCAACUCGACUGCGUGAAGUUGGAAUCGCUAGUAAUCGCGGAUCAGCAUGUCGCGGUGAAUACGUUCCCGGGUCUUGUACACACC
rnacentral:rRNA from 1 species